rnacentral:tRNA from 1 species
GGGGGUAUAGCUCAGCUGGGAGAGCAGCAGACUGAAGUCACUACCACUUUCUGAAGGUCCCGCGUUCGAUCCGCGGUACCCCCA